rnacentral:piRNA from 1 species
UGGGAACGAGAAGACACCCGUGGAGGCGUC